rnacentral:rRNA from 1 species
UUGGUGCCUUCGGGAACUCUGAGACAGGUGCUGCAUGGCUGUCGUCAGCUCGUGUUGUGAAAUGUUGGGUUAAGUCCCGCAACGAGCGCAACCCUUAUCCUUUGUUGCCAGCGGUUAGGCCGGGAACUCAAAGGAGACUGCCAGUGAUAAACUGGAGGAAGGUGGGGAUGACGUCAAGUCAUCAUGGCCCUUACGAGUAGGGCUACACACGUGCUACAAUGGCGCAUACAAAGAGAA